UACGUAGGUGGCAAGCGUUGUCCGGAUUUACUGGGCGUAAAGAGCGCGCAGGCGGUCGUACAAGUCGCGUGUGAAAGCCCCCGGCUCAACUGGGGAGGGUCACGCGAUACUGUUCGACUCGAAGGCAGGAGAGGGAAGCGGAAUUCCCGGUGUAGUGGUGAAAUGCGUAGAUAUCGGGAGGAACACCUGUGGCGAAGGCGGCCCCCUGGUCGGAUACUGACGCUGAUACGCGAAAGCGUGGGGAGCAAACAGG
rnacentral:rRNA from 1 species